rnacentral:lncRNA from 1 species
AUUCAGUAAUCACUCAAGAAAACCAUACUUUGACAGAAGAGGAAACUACUAUACAAUCAAAAAAAUGAGUAAGCACACCAACUUCAGGCACCACAAGAUGGGUGGUCAGGAUGCAGAAGGGCUGAAGAACUUCUGGGAAAAGGUCAUCCAAGAGCAAACCAAGCAACAAGAAGCCGAAGAGUCCAGGUUAAGCAAAAGUGCCCUGAACAAGCUCCGCCAGGAAUGGGCUCUGCGGCUGGAGAGGAGAGCGCGGCAGGUCCAGGCACACACGAAAACACGGGGGGAACAAGGGACGCCUCUGUCCAUCGAGGCUCUGCCCUCACCAGACAAAACUGUCGCUUAAAUUAAGCAAGAAUUGGGCCCGACUCUGGCCUUCUGCACACACCUAUAACCCAGCAGUCACGCUGCCCAGCAAGCAAAAGAUCAGAAUCUGGCCCUUUUCCAGACUGUUUCUUACAGCUACUGUUUAAGUCCUGCUGAAAUUCAGUGCCACAGUACAAAAUCUAAAAAAAAAAAAAAAAAAAAAAAGGAAAAGGCAUAGAUGAGAAGCAGACAACUCCAAUUCUCCACAAUGUGUUAUUACUGUGAUGCAUCAGGAACUCAGGACUCUCUUAUGUAACUGUGUUUCCAAGUGACAACAACAUAUUGCCAGGAAAGAGGGCAAUAAAAAUAAUACAAAGCCUUUUUAAUAGGGAUAA